GACGAACGCUGGCGGCGCGCUUAACACAUGCAAGUCGAGCGAGAACCUGGGCUUCGGCCCAGGGGACAGCGGCGAACGGGUGAGCAACACGUGGAUAACCUGCCCUCGGCACCGGGAUAGCCCGGGGAAACUCGGAUUAAUACCGGAUGGCCCUUCCGGCUCUCGAGCCGGUCGGAAAAGGUAGCUUCGGCCUCCGGCCGAGGAUGGGUCCGCGGCGGAUUAGCUUGUUGGUGGGGUAAUGGCCUACCAAGGCUCCGAUCCGUAGCUGGUCUGAGAGGACGAGCAGCCACACUGGGACUGAGACACGGCCCAGACUCCUACGGGAGGCAGCAGUGGGGAAUCUUGCGCAAUGGGCGAAAGCCUGACGCAGCGACGCCGCGUGGGGGAGGAAGGCCUUCGGGUUGUAAACCUCUUUCAGGAGGGACGAAGCUACUCGGGUGAAUAGCCCAGAGGGUGACGGUACCUCCAGAAGAAGCCCCGGCUAACUACGUGCCAGCCGCCGCGGUAACAC
rnacentral:rRNA from 1 species